CAUUUCCAACAAGAGCACUGGCCAAGUCAGCUUCUUCUGAGAGAGUCUCUAGAAGACAUGAUGCUACACUCAGCUUUGGGUCUCUGCCUCUUACUCGUCACAGUUUCUUCCAACCUUGCCAUUGCAAUAAAAAAGGAAAAGAGGCCUCCUCAGACACUCUCAAGAGGAUGGGGAGAUGACAUCACUUGGGUACAAACUUAUGAAGAAGGUCUCUUUUAUGCUCAAAAAAAGUAAGAAGCCAUUAAUGGUUAUUCAUCACCUGGAGGAUUGUCAAUACUCUCAAGCACUAAAGAAAGUAUUUGCCCAAAAUGAAGAAAUACAAGAAAUGGCUCAGAAUAAGUUCAUCAUGCUAAACCUUAUGCAUGAAACCACUGAUAAGAAUUUAUCACCUGAUGGGCAAUAUGUGCCUAGAAUCAUGUUUGUAGACCCUUCUUUAACAGUUAGAGCUGACAUAGCUGGAAGAUACUCUAACAGAUUGUACACAUAUGAGCCUCGGGAUUUACCCCUAU
rnacentral:lncRNA from 1 species